AAAAGGAUAAAAAUACUUAUUUCAAAGCCAAGAAAAUAAUGGCAGCAGAGCACGGUAAGCAGUGCAAAACAUGCCUGAGAAAGUUAUGGGAUUCCAAGACGUGGCUUCCACCCAAGAAUCCUACAAACAUGGCACAAGAAAACCCAGAUAAAGACAUUUUAAAACAGCCCCUCUAAACAAAAAUUAACAGAAGGAGCUGAACUAGAAAAUGUUCACAUGUAAUUCCAGAGCAGAUGGACUGUAAGUCUCUGAAACAGAAGGUCUCACCCACAGAAGCUUCUCCCCUUCCUUGGAGUACGAGCGACAACAAAAGCAGGAGGUUAGGUAACAUGCAGCCCUGUGGUUUGGAAACCCCAAAAAUCCUGCAUGAAUUCAGCCAGCUCUGGGCACCUCAACCUUGUAACCAACCAAGUUCUGAACAGAUCUCAACAAUAAUAAGGACGGCAGCAAACAUGAAAGGGUGCAGCAGCGUUUGUGUGGGGCAGCGCUGGGUGGCUCAGCGUGCCAUUGUGCCGAUUGUGACCGAGCCCGCCGUGAUCAAUGGAGCCCUUUGCAAUCAAAUGCAGAUCCUCAGGUGACCCUUGUACCAGCAGCAAACAAAGAGUUCCAGGGGGUGUUUGUGCCUUCAUUGUAUAGAGGGGGAAACUGAGGCAACAAGUGGAAAGGCAGGAACUGGAUGAUCUUUAAGGUCCCUUCCAACCCAAACCAUGAUUCCGUGACAGAACAGAGGGAGAAGAGAAUUUGUUUUAAAACCCUGGUGCCUGCCUCACCUCAUGGAGCCUGGUGGCAAAUUCAAUAAAUCCUUGUUUUACACUGCAGCUGGAGAGGUUGAGCUCUGUCUGCAGCUGGGUGUGAGUUUUGCUCUGUGUGUUAAGGAAAGAGGGGUUAGCCAGCCUUUUU
rnacentral:lncRNA from 1 species